rnacentral:SRP_RNA from 1 species
CCGACUCCGCGAACCUGCUCAAGUCCGGCAGGGAGCACAGGGAGUUCCAGGAGUGGGCCCGCGAGUCCGUGGAGGUCCGCUGGGCCAACC